UACGAAGGGGGGCUAGCGUUGCUCGGAAUUACUGGGCGUAAAGGGCGCGUAGGCGGAUAGUUUAGUCAGAGGUGAAAAGCCCAGGGCUCAACCUUGGAACUGCCUUUGAUACUGGCUAUCUUGAGUUCGGGAGAGGUGAGUGGAAUGCCGAGUGUAGAGGUGAAAUGCGUAGAUAUCUGGAGGAACACCGGUGGCGAAGGCGGCAUUCUGGACCUAACUGACACUGAGG
rnacentral:rRNA from 1 species